CUAGUCUUCUCUCCUCCACCCUUCUCCCUGAGUGCAGUUAGCAGCCAUUCCCUCCUAAAUAGAAACAUAUCAAUUGUUUGUUUUCUCCAUAAUUUGUACAUCACUAGUUUCUUCUUGUAUAAUUGUGUAACUAUGAAAAUUAACCAACCAGGAAACCAAGCGAACAACAUUAUUGAUCAGUCAUGGUAAAAUAAUAUGCAUUGCAUGGCUUUCUGUUUUAAAACAGGAAGGGGGGAAUCCAAAAUAAACGAGGUGCUGGGCAGGGUUUUUCUGCCCUAAAUACAGUAUGUGUGACCUUGUUAUGCUGGAACUACUGGGUGGUUGUCACUUCAGUGUUUUCUCUCUCUCUACCUCUGCUGCAUCUCCUCCUCUGUUUGUUCUCUCCUCUACACUGUGCUGAGGGUUAGCUGUGAUCCCUAUGCAGGUUGACACAUCCUCCUCUACCCUGUGCUGAGGGUUAGCUGUGAUCCCUAUAGAGGUUAGCUGUAAUCCCUAUAGAGGUUGACACAUCCUCCUCUACCCUGUGCUGAGGGUUAGCUGUGAUCCCUAUAGAGGUUGACACAUCCUCCUCUACCCUGUGCUGAGGGUUAGCUGUGAUCCCUAUAGAGGUUAGCUGUAAUCCCUAUAGAGGUUGACACAUCCUCCUCUACCCUGUGCUGAGGGUUAGCUGUGAUCCCUAUAGAGGUUGACACAUCCUCCUCUACCCUGUGCUGAGGGUUAGCUGUGAUCCCUAUAGAGGUUAACACAUCCUCCUCUACCCUGUGCUGAGGGUUAGCUGUGAUCCCUAUAGAGGUUAGCUGUAAUCCCUAUAGAGGUUAGCUGUGAUCCCUAUAGAGGUUAGCUGUGAUCCCUAUAGAGGUUAGCUGUGAUCCCUAUAGAGGUUAGCUGUGAUCCCUAUAGAGGUUAGCUGUGAUCCCUAUAGAGGUUAGCUGUGAUCUCUAUAGAGGUUAGCUGUGAUCCCUAUAGAGGUUAGCUGUGAUCUCUAUAGAGGUUAGCUGUGAUCCCUAUAGAGGUUAGCUGUAAUCCCUAUAGAGGUUGACACAUCCUCCUCUACCCUGUGCUGAGGGUUAGCUGUGAUCCCUAUGCAGGUUGACACAUCCUCCUCUACCCUGUGCUGAGGGUUAGCUGUAAUCCCUAUAGAGGUUGGCACAUCCUCCUCUACCCUGUGCUGAGGGUUAGCUGUAAUCCCUAUAGAGGUUGACACAUCCUCCUAUACCCUGUGCUGAGGGUGAGCUGUGAUCCCUAUAGAGGUUGACACACCCUCCUCUACCCUGUGCUGAGGGUUAGCUGUGAUCCCUAUAGAGGUUAGCUGUAAUCCCUAUAGAGGUUGACACAUCCUCCUCCACAGUGACAUUAUUCUCUCUGUGCUGACAUACUGCUGUGACAUUAUUCUCUCUGACAUAAUGCAGUAACAUUAUUCUCUCUGACAUACUGCAGUGACAUGAUUCUCUCUGAACUGACAUAUUGCAGUGACAUUAUUCUCUCUGACAUACUGCAGUGACAUUAUUCUCUCUGAACUGACAUACUGCAGUGACAUUAUUCUCUCUGUGCUGACAUACUGCAGUGACAUAAUUAUCUCUGUGCUGACAUACUGCAGUAACCUUAUUCUCUCUGACAUACUGCAGUGACCUUAUUCUCUCUGAACUGACAUACUGCAGUAACGUUAUUCUCGCUGACAUACUGCAGUAACAUUAUUCUCUCUGAACUGACAUACUGCAGUCACCUUAUUCUCUCUGAACUGACAUACUGCAGUGACAUUAUUCUCUCUGACAUACUGCAGUAACCUUAUUCUCUCUGACAUACUGCAGUGACAUUAUUCUCUCUGAACUGACAUACUGCAGUGACCUUAUUCUUUCUGAACUGACAUACUGCAGUAACAUUAUUCUCUCUGAACUGGCAUACUGCAGUAACCUUAUUCUCUCUGAACUGACAUACUGCAGUGACAUUAUUAUCUCUGACAUACUGCAGUAACCUUAUUCUCUCUGACAUACUGCAGUGACAUUAUUCUCUCUGAACUGACAUCCUGCAGUGACAUUAUUCUCUCUGAACUGACAUACUGCAGUGACAUUAUUCUCUCUGUGCUGACAUACUGCAGUGACAUUAUUCUCUCUGACAUACUGCAGUAACAUUAUUCUCUCUGACAUACUGCAGUGACAUGAUUCUCUCUGAA